UAAUAUAGACACAAACAGGGAGCACCCCCGAAAGAGUGCUCCCCUAGCAGAGCCGUUAAAGACGGCUGGCAUUUCAACUUACAAUCAAAA
rnacentral:sRNA from 1 species